UACGUAGGGUGCAAGCGUUGUCCGGAAUUAUUGGGCGUAAAGAGCUCGUAGGCGGUUUGUCGCGUCUGCCGUGAAAGUCCGGGGCUCAACUCCGGAUCUGCGGUGGGUACGGGCAGACUAGAGUGAUGUAGGGGAGACUGGAAUUCCUGGUGUAGCGGUGAAAUGCGCAGAUAUCAGGAGGAACACCAAUGGCGAAGGCAGAUCUCUGGGCCGUAACUGACGCUGAGGAGCGAAAGCAUGGGGAGCGAACAGG
rnacentral:rRNA from 1 species